rnacentral:lncRNA from 1 species
UUUUAUAUUGUUGCAGUCAGACGGAAGAUAUAAAAAUGAUUUACACCCUUUAUUUAUUAUCUCAUCUUCAAAAUCUAGAAGAUAUGUUGCCUUUUUUUUAACACGGAGUGAAUUAAUUACGAGAGGGGAUUGAUUUUGGAAAACCUUAAUUUCCUCACCCAAAUCAUUGAUAUUGAAUGGCAGAAAACAAGAAUUUGGAGAUGACCAAGGUCGAUAAUUAGGUCAUCACGAUCAAGCGAUCCGACUAGAUGAUAAUGGUUGAUUAUGUCCCUGACGUACAGUUAGUUCUAUAUCACGCAUGACUAUGAGGGUACAAAAACAUACGGUUCCAGAAACUGUUGCGGUCCCAGA